rnacentral:rRNA from 1 species
AUGCCAAGGGGAAUUUCACCCAUUAGUAAGUUGGCAGAUAGGUCUAGGCUCCAUAGCUUGGAGCAGUUUGUGAGAGUAUUUGGAAUGGUCCCUUGUAGUGAGUUGUUUCCCAAGUCAAGGUAUUCCAGUCUGUGGAGACGGUUGAGAGGAGGUAACUCGCCGGUGAAUCCAUUUUUGGACAGGUCCAGUGUCCUAAGGAACGUUAGGUUGCCAAGGGAGGGGGAUAUCCGGCCCAACAACCCUCGUUUGCUGAGGUACAACUUAGUGACUCGCCCCGAGCUACAGUGGACGCCCUCCCAACUGCAAAGAGGGACACUGGCUUGCCAAGAUCUUAAGGCUUGUCUUGAGUCGUUAGUGAUGUCCCGCUUGAAAUCUAGCAGCGAGAUCAUGCCCGUGAUGUUACCAUGGACGGUCGUCGAGGAGCAGCGAAUGCUGCCGACUCCACAAGAAAUCAGCAGCAGCGACAGCAACAUAAAGAUUGGGGCGAGCCUUGUCGCUUGA